UCCGAAUUGGGGGAGUGGCUAACAUAUGACGCUCUCGUGUCUAAACAACAUUGGGCCGUCAAGCACGGGGUUCGAUUCCCCGAUUCGGAG